rnacentral:Y_RNA from 17 species
CCGGCGAAUGCCGGUGGAACUACAGGACGUGAAGGUUGCGGGUUCGACUCCCGCCCCGGCGACGGGUAGCUCAACUGGAUAGAGCAACGCGCAUGUUCCACCAACGAUCGUCGCCGCACU